rnacentral:lncRNA from 1 species
GAAAGACUCCCCCACCGGAGUCCGAUCAAAGGAAUACAAGAUGAGAUGAGAAGACCCGUAACCCCUUUCCCUCUCUAUCCUUAGACCAGAAUCAUACCUCAUGGCCUCCUCUGCCAACGCUUAUCUGUUGCUGAAGGUAUGACUUUCUCCCUUGACGUCCUUGCUUCCUCUGACUCCCAUAUGAUUAGGUGUUCCCCCUCUAAAGAGCUCACAUUGCUGGCACUUUUGGCAUCCAAAAGCCUUCUUCUCUCCAUGGAUUCUUUACCUUUAUUACGGGCUGUGGGUUGAUUUAAGCUGACCUCUUCCAAAACAACCUCUGGGCCACUCCCAAUCUGAGCCCAUCUUUUGGGCUGGCUAACUUCUGGACCACUAGGACUGGACGUCCUCUCAAUUAAUAAUUGGACCCUCUCUGCAUUCGGCCCAUCUGGGCCCUUUUCUAUUGCCCCUAAACUUGUCACCUGGGCCUGAUAUCCUUUUGAAACCCAGCCCAAGUUACUAGCCUUCCAGCCCAUUCUGUUUUCUGGAUUUAAUAAACCCAUGGGCCGUUCAAAGUGGGCCUGGGGCUUAACUAGGGUGGCUUCAUUCAUAUAGCCUACCCCUUCAUCAGCCCAAAUCUUGGAUGGCCCAGCCUGUAGCCCCACCCCCUCUUCCAGCACACCCUUCAAUUUUAGGCCCGAAAGAUCCGGCUUACAGCCCCUAUGCCCCAUGGGCCCUGACUGUUGGGCCCAAUCCUCUGUCCCCUCCCAUCCCCUGUCCCUCGUCUGUCUCCCUGUCCCCUCCUCUGACUGUACCAGAGCCUCAGUCCUGUCAACGACCGAUUCCAUCUCCACACGCGAGCCAGCGCGUGAGCUACUCUCGUCCCUGACCUCCUCCCAUCUGUGGCUAGCAACCCUUAGCUUCUUGACUGUCGGCCUGAACUCCCACCAGAGUGCAAGCGUGAGGACUUCCUCCUCAAUCUCAAUCUCCAGCGUACUCGGCUUGUUACCUCCGGUCGAUCUAACCAGGAUCCGAGCCCAUUGAAGCUCUUCCAGUUUCUUCGUCUUCGAGUCGAUGUCGAUGAAGCCUCCACAUUCCUCCCCCACCCUUCUCAACACAGUCGGAUUCCACAGUAGCACUGGUAGCCCAAAAAUUCUGACCCACAUCUCGUUGCUUUCUUCCUUCUCCACUCUGCAUCCAUCCCAUGGUCUCCAUUUAUCGAACCCCAGCCUUAUCGCUCCCAUCCUUUUUUCACCUGAGAGGGAGGCCCGUUUAGCUUCUUCCAAGUGUUCAAACUCCAACAAAACUCUACUCUCUUCCAAUUUUGCCAACCCUAGGCUCCCUUUCAGACCCCAAGAACUCGCCAGAAACCUCCCCCAUUUUUCCAAAUCUUCUUCAUCCCCAAAACUAGGGUUCCAACUCCCGACAACACAGUACUCCAAUUUUUCCAAAUUACUUUGUAUUUCCUUCCUCCCUACCUUCACUUGAACUGGGCUUAUACCUCUACACGUCGGUNNNNNNNNNNNNNNNNNNNNNNNNNNNNNNNNNNNNNNNNNNNNNNNNNNNNNNNNNNNNNNNNNNNNNNNNNNNNNNNNNNNNNNNNNNNNNNNNNNNNCUCCUAUCACCCUUGAUACUGCAACCUGAUAGGUAGCCUCCAGCAACCGCCCUCCUAAUUAGGGCAUCUAGCACUUCCAUUCCCAAGACGAAGAGGUAAGGAGACAAUGGAUCCCCUUGACGAAGCCCUUUAGAACUCGAGAAGAAUCCAACUGGAACCCCAUUAACAAGAACUGAGAAUUUGGUUGUAGAAAUACAACUCCACAUCCACCCCAACCACUUAGAGCCAAAACCCAUUUUGUGUAGAGUCUUCAGCAAGAACUGUCAAUUGAUGUUGUCAUACGCUUUCUCAAUAUCCAACUUGCAAAUGAGCCCUUUCUCUUUUCUUUUCUGCCAUGAGUCUAUCACCUCAUUCGCAAUAAGAGAAGCAUCAAGGAUUUGUCUUCCCAUCACAAAUGCAUUCUGAGUUGGGGCUAUCACUUUGUUUAACACUCUCUUGAGUCUAUUAGCUAACACUUUAGCCAUCAAUUUGUAUAGCCCCCCCAGGAGACUAAUGGGUCUAAAAUCUCCCAAGUCAGCCGCUCCCCUUUUCUUAGGAAUCAGAACCAGAAAGGUGUUAUUGAGGCUUUUGAGAAAGGAGCCUUGCUCAUGAAACUCCUUAAACAUCUCCAAGACCUCCUCUUUCACGAAAUCCCAACAGCUUUGCCAAAACGCCAUAGUAAAACCAUCCGGCCCAGGGGCUUUAUCCCCACUCAUCUCCAUUAAGGCUGAAUGAAUCUCAUUUUCAGAGAAUGGAAUCUCAAGACUCUCUGCUUCUUGCUGGCUAAUUUGAUCUAAUUGGAUCCCUUCAAUAUCCGCCUUCCACCCCACGUCUUCUGAGAACCUCUGAUGAUAAGCAUUUGCAAUCCCCUCCCGUACAUCCUGAUCCUCUACCAACCAAACCCCAUCAAUUUUUACUCUAUCCAACGAGUUGUUGUUACGGUGGGCAUUCGCCAUCCGAUGAAAAAAUCCCGUAUUUUUGUCCCCUUCCUUAAGCCAAACCUCCCUUGAGAGUUGUCUCCAAUGACUUUCUUCCAAAAGAAUCCAUUUUUUAUAGCUUUCCUUUGCUUCCUUUUUUAAUUCUAUCUCUUCCAAGGACAAGCUUCUUUCACUUUCCACACCGUCCCAAUAGUCCACUUGUUGCAAGGCUGCUCUUUUGUUACCUUCCAGAUUACCAAAGACCUCUCUAUUCCAAACUUUCAGUUUCUGUUUGAGCUCUUUCGUCUUUGCUGCCAAUCUGUAGCUAGCAGUGCCCCUGACCUCAAUUUCCCUCCACCAACUCCAGAUAAGAUCUAGAAAACCCUCAACUUUUAACCACAUAUUUUCGAACCUGAAGGGAGAAGGACCUCUCCUUAGCCCGCCUCCUUCUAGCAGAAUAGGAAAAUGGUCUGAAACAGGACAAGGCAGCCUUCUUUGAAUCACCCCACUGAACUUGUCUAGCCAGCUAGGAGACACCAAGAACCUGUCCAACCUUGCCCAGGACUGGUUGUUCAAGCCCCCACUCCAAGUAAACACUCCCCCUUGCAACGGGAGAUCUACCAGCCCUAAAUCAUCAAUGAUAUGAGCAAACCUCCUCAUGGUCGGUGUUAUUCUCCCUUGGCGGCUUCUUUCUCCUUGAUAAAGGGUACUAUUAAAGUCACCUCCUAGGCACUAAGGCUCGUCCCAGAUUCCUCUUACAGCCCCGAGCUCUUCCCACAGGCCCUCUCUUUCCUCUUUGGUGAAUUGGCCAUAGACUCCCGUAAACACCCAAACAGCCCCAUCCUCCACAUUCUUGAAUCUACACGAAAGGGAGUACUGUCCUUCCUCCCAAUCCACAACUUCCAGCGAUCUUUUAUCCCAGCAAAUCAACAGACCUCCCGCCGCCCCAUCCGCAUCCAAAGCCCUCCAAUCUAAGAAUCUUCCCGAGCCUAAACUUCUCACCACCCCCUCUGACAUUGGCUGGAUUUUUGUCUCCUGAAUACACAGUAAGUCAACUUUUUGAUUCCUUAUAAAAGUCUUAAUAAUUUUCCUCUUGGACCUGUCAUUUGCCCCUCUCACAUUCCAACUUAACAGCUUCAGCUUCAUUAAUCUACUGUAAGUUGAUCCCCUUUGCCCUGUACAAGGCUUUUUUGCUUACACCCUUUCUCAUAAUUAACUGAGCACUCCAGUCUCUUCAAUUCCCUCUCAAAUUUUGACUUCUCCAUCAAUUCUUUGUUAUGAAUUCUCUCCCGUCUCUUCCUUAUUUUGAGCAAGAAGUUCAAAAUUUCCUUUUCCAACCCUUCUGUCAAAAAGCCCAAAAAAUGAUUGAACUUGGCCAAACUGCUUUCUUCCCAUCUAUCCUCUUUCUCACUUCUAGCUUCUUGAAGUUCUGUCCUCUCUGAGUUCCACUCCACCCCCCUAGCCAAAUUUGGAUCCUUAUUGAAUUCUACCAAGUCCCAGCAUCCCUUGUCAUCCAUUCCGGGACCUACUUCAUUACUUUCCUUUAGCACCCCAGAGUGAUCGAAAGGCUCCCCCACCGGAGUCCAAUCAAAAGAAUACAAGAUGAGAUGAGAAGACCCGUAACCCAUUUCCCUCUCUAUCCUUAGACCAGAAUCAUACCUCAUGGCCUUCUCUGCCAGCGCCUUGUCUGUUGCUGAAGGUAUGACUUUCUCCCUUGUCUUCCUUGCUUCCUCUAACUCCCAUAUGACUAGGUGUUCCCCCUCUAAAGAGCUC